CGGGCAGCAGUGAGGAAUAUUGCCCAAUGGAGGAAACUCUGAGGCAGCAACGCCGCGUGAACGAUGACGGCCUUCGGGUUGUAAAGUUCUUUUCUCAGGGACGAUGAUGACGGUACCUGAGGAAUAAGUCCCGGCUAACUACGUGCCAGCAGCCGCGGUAAAACGUAGGGGACAAGCGUUAUCCGGAUUUACUGGGCGUAAAGCGCCCGUAGGCGGCUUUUUAAGUUGGACGUGAAAGCUCCCGGCUUAACUGGGAGAGGCCGUUCAAAAACUGAGAGGCUAGAGUGAGGCAGAGGAGCGCGGAAUUCCCGGUGUAGUGGUGGAAUGCGUAGAUAUCGGGAGGAACACCAGUGGCGAAGGCGGCGCUCUGGGCCUAAACUGACGCUGAGGGGCGAAAGCGUGGGGAGCGAACGGGAUUAGAUACCCUGGUAGUCCACGCCGUAAACGAUGAGUGCUAGACGUUGGGGCCCUUAGGGCUUCGGUGUCGCAGCUAACGCGUUAAGCACUCCGCCUGGGGAGUACGGCCGCAAAGGUUA
rnacentral:rRNA from 1 species